UACGGAGGGUGCAAGCGUUAUCCGGAUUCACUGGGUUUAAAGGGUGCGUAGGUGGGCAGGUAAGUCAGUGGUGAAAUCUCCGAGCUUAACUCGGAAACUGCCGUUGAUACUAUUUGUCUUGAAUAUUGUGGAGGUAAGCGGAAUAUGUCAUGUAGCGGUGAAAUGCUUAGAUAUGACAUAGAACACCAAUUGCGAAGGCAGCUUACUACACAACGAUUGACGCUGAGGCACGAAAAGCGUGGGGGAUCAAAACAGG
rnacentral:rRNA from 1 species